rnacentral:rRNA from 1 species
UACGGAGGGUGCAAGCGUUGUCCGGAUUUAUUGGGUUUAAAGGGUGCGUAGGCGGCUUUUUAAGUCAGUGGUGAAAUACAGCAGCUCAACUGUUGAGGUGCCAUUGAUACUGAGAGGCUUGAGUACAGAUGAGGUAGGCGGAAUUUAUGGUGUAGCGGUGAAAUGCAUAGAUACCAUAAAGAACACCGAUUGCGAAGGCAGCUUACUAAGCU